rnacentral:lncRNA from 1 species
CCCCCAGUCAUUGCCUGCUGCAAGCCAGCCAACACGAUCCUUGUUCCAAACAGGUUCGUCAGGCUUCACAUCUGUUGCUUGCUGCACUCUCCCCCAAGAUAAUGUUUGUCACUUAUUGUGUAUGUGUAUGGUACGUCAUGGAGAAAAUGGUAUCCUUGAGAACCCUUCAUGUUGGGAACAUGUGGUUUAGUCAUGAACUCAUGAUCAAUUUCUGGUCCUUAUGUUGAUCAUAGGAGGCACAGUUUUUUAUUCUUUAAAUAGUUAAAUGAUUGUAAGUCCGGGGGGUUGUGCUUUAGCUACAAGCUUCAUUUGUAUGCUCAGUUCUUAAUUGCUUGACAACUCAUGCUGUUCCAUUUCGUUUAAUUCUUUUUGCGAUGAUGCUUUUAUUUUAUGAGUCAGCUAGUCAGGUUAUUGCUUAACGUUUUCUUUUAUAGGCAGCUUAAGGAUUCGGAAGAUGCCAUGCCGUAGCAAGGUUCAAAUGUUUACAUGGAGACUUAGGCACAGAUCUCUCACUUUGUGCACGAACCUGGUUAGAGGGGGAGUACAGAUCGAGGGCACAAAAUGUCUGUUCUGCGGGAGAGCUGAGGAUACGGUGUGCAUCUAUUUAUCAAGUGCUAAUCUGUGAAAGAAGUUUGGCGAGAACUUGAGCUGGAAGCAGUCAGAUCAAAACCGAGAGAAGG